rnacentral:rRNA from 1 species
AAUGGGUCAGCGACUUAUAUUCUGUAGCAAGGUUAACCGAAUAGGGGAGCCGAAGGGAAACCGAGUCUUAACUGGGCGUUAAGUUGCAGGGUAUAGACCCGAAACCCGGUGAUCUAGCCAUGGGCAGGUUGAAGGUUGGGUAACACUAACUGGAGGACCGAACCGACUAAUGUUGAAAAAUUAGCGGAUGACUUGUGGCUGGGGGUGAAAGGCCAAUCAAACCGGGAGAUAGCUGGUUCUCCCCGAAAGCUAUUUAGGUAGCGCCUCGUGAAUUCAUCUCCGGGGGUAGAGCACUGUUUCGGCAAGGGGGUCAUCCCGACUUACCAACCCGAUGCAAACUGCGA